rnacentral:misc_RNA from 1 species
ACACCUCAAACCCCAAUGUUUUGAAAGAAGCAUUGCUUGGGUUUGGUUCUUGGGCUAUUACUUGCUGCUUUAUUGCUCAGCUAGCCUUAAAGAUAUUAGCUGGACUCGAGCUCUCGAGUGCCCUCAACGCUUGAUGUGAUAAAUGUUACGUCGUGCUUGGAGCCUCUUUAGCUAUUAGAGCCCGCUUCUAAUACGGCGAGAAGAUUAAAAACCUUCGACCCACUAUUUAAU